GAGACCCAGCUACCUUCCCACUCCACAUCGGGGGUACGCGGAGAAGAGGAUGCUCACCGAGGUUUGACUGAUGCCUGCACGGAAGACACGGAAGUCCCUUCGGGUUUCCUUCUCACUCUCCACUGCUCACCCCCCAAGCUCCAGGUGACUUCCCAACUCCCUCCCCGACACCCGGUGGUUGGUGCCAGGACCACACGCCUGGACCGUCAGCCUUGUUACUUGACCCCUGCAGCAUCCAAGGUUUAUCCAUCUAAGUGACAUUUUUGAAAUUCUAACGGUGCCAUCCAUUUGUGCCCAUCUUCUGUCACAUGGAUGAGAUUUCCAUCUGACCUUCCUUCAAGACUCUGACUUUUCAUGUCUGGGACUUAGAAGAUCUCUAGGAAGAGUGAUGUUGACAGCACAGAAACCAGGCAUACCUGGGCCCCAUUUCUCCUGCAUCCUUGGCUUUGGGGCAUGCACCUGUCUUAGCUUGCGGCCACAUGGUAACUAGCAGAAGCUGGUGGACCAAAACAUGGCUCAUCCAGUUGUUUUCCUCCAGUGCCCUGUUCAUAGACUGGCCCUCUUGCAGAAGACCCUUGGGAGAGCCUUCAGCUGCACAGCCUCAAAAGCUGUGAUUCAUCCCUAAUCUUGGAUGGAAUUAGAGAAACUACAGUUACCCUUGGCCAUUUGGAGAUUGUGAGAGUCAGUCCUGGACCAAAGGGGCCAAUGGAUUUUUCCAGAUGUGACUUGGCACAGUAGACACCAGUCUUUGGUCCUGUCAUUCUGAUCUCCUGACUCUCUCUGGCUUCCAGGAAGGCUCCUUCACAGAGCCGAAUACUCUUUUGGUGCAAGUGCCUUCCUGCACAGAGGAAGUGGCAAAGGGGAACCACAGAGCCGGGAGAAACAGCUGAAUGGAAUCGAGCACCUGGCUCUACUGCUUAUCAGAAGAGAGGUGCCUCUCAGAUGAUGCCGUGUCAGAAGGGCAGAGGAGCUAGCUGCUGACAGCGUAUUUGUCUCUCACACAUCCCCCAAUCCUCUCUAGCCACUGCCCCCCCUUCCUGGAAAUCUGACUUAGGAUUGCAGUUGAAGGCUUUCUAUAGAGACUCCACCUUACACCUGCAGACAGGUCAAAGCACACAUUGGAUGCUAGCGUGGGUUCCCCCGCUCCCAUUUCCUGGGAGAUGCGAGAGGUGGUUUAGAAUAAGGAAGAAGCCUUAGUCUUUUGCUGACAGCUUCACGGUUAGAGGGUUUUUUUUGGCUGAGUUAAGCAAACAGUUGUGCGGCUCAGGCCCUGGGGCUGCAGCCUGUGGCUCUAACUGGUAAGGUGCCGGGGUGGUGGGAGUUACCACCUGGACCAAGCCAUCUCCUUGUGUCAUGAACCCCUCCUUCCCAUCCGCCCAUGUCCCCUCAUCUCUGUCCUCAUCACACUGUCAUUCAUGUGUUGCCUUGAUAAACUGUGAUGUACCGUUCUGAGCUCUCCCGGGUGCAGUUCGGAAACUGAAAGGACCAUUAACCUGUUUUUUCUUUCUUUUUUUAAAUUUUGUAAUCUAGGCUUGAAGACUCUUUGAUGAGGGUUUUUUUAAACAGUCUUUUCUCUAAGAGCCGCUGAUGAGGGAGGGCCUCUUGAGGGUUUUCCUGAGUGACACUGUGGCACCCGCGGGUGCCUGAUCUCCGUCUGCAUUUUACCACACUUUACAGGGUAGCUAGGGUGCCGCAGUUCCUCUCUGUGCCUCAGUUUUCCCCAUCCAUUCAAUGGGAACAUUCAUGUCUGACCCCCACCCCUGCCUCAUGCCCCCUGGGGAAGGUCCCGGGAACGCCUCAGGGAGCCUAGGGGUGAUGCUAUGCAAAUGUGUGACUUUUCCUAAUGACUUCUGGUUCAAGACCCUGUUUCCCCAGCUGCCCGGGGCAAGGCCUCCCCCCUAGACUCCCUGCCUCAGAUCCAAAGCCCACCAACCAGCCAUUCUGGGCCACGUUAGCCCUGUCACUCCCUCCCUGGCCUCUGGAACUGCUCGUCAGUCUUGCUUCUUACCCUUCGGCAAAGAGGAGGCUGUUUGGAUGGAUUCAGUGGGAUCCUUCCAGGGCCAGAGAGCAUCUCGGUUGGGAGCGUGGCGUCUCCAAACCUGAAAUGCUGUAGGAGAUGUUCAUGAUUCAGACACCUGCUCUGAGGUCCUAAAAUGCCAGUUUCCCCGUCUCUUCAGUUACCCCUGGCUGUUCAGGGCGAGGAGAAGGGCCCACCCAGAGGCAAAAGGGGUGCUCCCAGCGAGGGUAAGUGUUGGAGCGAGUAUGCUUGUGUCUCUGUGUGUACGUGUGCUCGCCCUCAUCACCGUUUCCUUUUCAAGUCAGAGUCUGCCCGAAAGUCAAGGGUUUAUGGAGAGCUGGGCUCUCCAGGGACUCUGGUUGCCAUAGCAACCUUCCAGACUGUUCUCUCUAUCUUCUGCUUUGGGCAGUAAGGAAGAGCAUGCGUCUACCUAUUCCCAGCUUCUGAAUCGGGGACACCUCCCCCAUAUUGGUUUAGGGGCCGGUGGCACCUGGACGGGGAUGCAUGCCCUUUGGAAGGUGGAGGGGGGAGAAGCAGGUCCCCAAAACUUCCCAUCUGGACCUUUCUUCCUGGUUUCCCCACCUGGUCCUUGCAGCUGCCUCGUCUCACCACGGAGUCUUCAGAAACUUGAAUACGAAGCAACUGCCAGUUAAAGCCCUGUUGAUAUGAUCUGUUUGGAAAUGGCCUCGGAGGGGACAGGCUUCUGGAGGGAAGCGGGGUCUCGCCAAGGGUCACACUAGUUUUAGUCCGCAACAGCCCCAUGGAGCGCUCACGUCCUCAGAGAGAGGCUCCUGCCAGCUCCUCUCCUUUCAAGGAACAGUCUAGCACCUGGGAGGAAUCCCAGAGGUGAUUCUCCUUGAGACGUCCAAGGAAAACGGACAGGCUGACCUGACCUAGUUUCUCUGGAAGAUUCUGCCCAUCGCUCUCCUUCUGCCUCUGAGCCGUUUGGUGUGGAUCUUGCUCCCUGAGCACCAAGGGGAGCUGUGCCCAGUGCCGCCGUGACAGCUGGGGUGGUGACUUCACAGCUGCCAGCAGAGGAACUCAGGCCAUCGUUACACCUGGCUCAGGCCCCACAGGAGCUCCCCGAGGUCUUCCUGGAUCUGGCAGGCUGAGCUGAGAUGCGGGAUGUGCCUCCUGCCUGAUCGGCCCCAGGAGAGGAGGGGACAGCUGGCCGCCUUUGCACCUGAGGGCUGGGUCUGAUGUCCGAUGUUCACCCACUCGCUCUCGGCUAAGAUGCAACGCCUCUACAGCUAGGCUCCUGUGAAACAAGCGUGCAGCGCGGACCCUGAUGAAAUCACAGUCUCCAGGCACCGCGUGGGGGCGUCGUGGACAGAGCGCGGACUUUGCUAUCGGACUGAACCGGUUCAAAUCCUCCUCUCACUCACGAGCGUUGAGACCUCAGACACCUUUCUCUCUACAACACAGGGACCAUGGUACUGACUUUACAGCACAACCGUGAGGGUUUUCUAAUGGAGCUGGGAUCUAUUUAGCCCAUGAGCAUUGCUCAGCAAAAGCAAGACAGCUCCUUGAACAAAAUGAGCAAUAGCUGCUCUGUGCUUGAAUGCUGGAGCUGGUUUGGUUCUAGUUUGGGAAUUAUCGGGUGCCUUUGUGUUCAGAGCUGGGAGCAGAAGACAGGGGCUUCCUUUUGCCUGGUCUCCAGGCCCUGAGGGGGACGGCCCUGUGCAGAGCUCGGCUGUCACCCUGCAGCCCGUCAUCAUUCCUCUGAGGCCCCGGCAGCACAGAUGGAGUGGGGGAUGGGGCAGUGUGUAGCAACUAGAAGAAGCAGGUGCCUCUCUUACUCCGCUUCCAGGCUUCGGAAGUCCAUUUAGCCUACAAUCCAAUUAAAGGCCUGCUCUGCGACCCCACCCCAGGCCUGCAGGAAGCCCGCUGGGUAAGGUCACAGGGAUGCACAAGUGGAUAGAGAUUCUUCUGGCCUGGGCACUUCCAAGGUCAUGGGCAUUGGCCUGGUGGCCCCUGAGACAAUGAGCCUUUGAGAGGCUUCUGGAGCUUGGCUACAGGGGACAGUGGCUUGUGCCAGGUAUGCCUCGUGACCCUGUAGAAUGAAUUUUGCCAGCUGCCUUGAGAGAGCGCUUCUUCUUCUGGUAGGUGUCUUUCAUGCCCUGAAUCACCACAUCUGAGCUCACUUCCCGGCCAUUCACCUGUUCCCAGGACAAAUCCCUAUGGAGCAGCCAUCUUUCCAGGGCCUGAGGGGAUCCUGCCUUUCUCUGUCUCCCCUCAUACCCCCAUCUCUCUGAGUCUCACACCUCCUUCAAGGACCACCCGGCACCUGUCCUCCUUCAUGAGGCCUCCAUAUGGGGGGACAGGCCCACUCACUGUGUCCCUAGAGGGGUGACCUUGUAUCGCUCUGCAAAUUACUGUGUUCAGAUUCAAAUCCUUUCCACAGACACAGAUAUUGCCAGCCCCUCACCUCAAAGAGUUGACAGCCUGGUUGAAAAUGUGUCUUAAGUUCAACAGGCCUGUCAUUUCCUUGAAGGCAGGGGCCUCAUCUCAUCUUUUCAGCCCCCAGCAGUGCUCUAUCUGGGAGCUGACAGUGAUGGCAUCGAAGAGUGGCAUUUCAAAGUAACCCCCCCCCCAAAAAAAAAAACCUUGGAGCUCCUGUUGUGGCCCAGCAGGUUAAGAACCAGACUAGUAGCCAUGAGGACGUGGGUUUGAUCCCUGGCCUCCCUCAGAGGGUUAAGAAUCCGGCGUUGCUGUGAGCUGUGGUGUGGGUCGAAGAUGUGGCUUAGAUCUGGCAUUGCUGUGGCUGUGGUGUAGACAGGGAGCUGCAGCUCCAAUUUGACCCCUAGCCUGGGAACUUCCAUAUGCCGCACAUGUGGCCCUAAAAAGAAAAACCAACCAGCAAACAAAACCCCAAACCCAAAGAACAUUUAUUAUCUCAGAACGUGGAGCCUUGAGGAGGGACGGCUCUGGGGACUGGGCGAUCAGGUAGCUCUUGCUCUAUCAUUAAUUUCAAAACUUAGGGGUGAUGACGGAAAGAUGUUAUCGGAAUCCGGGUUCUUGUUCACGGCAGUCGAAGAAUGAACUCCACGAACACACAGGCAGCAAGCAAGCAAAGUCUUUAUUACAGGAAAGCAAAGAGCUCCCAGGGCUGCUGGGAGGGGGAGAAGAGCCCCCUUCUUUAUUGUCCUAUAGGGAUUUUUAUCUCUUAAAGGUGGGGGGAGGUACCAACGUGGGGUCCAGAAAAAUGUGAUUUUCUCCCAUUGGCCCUGCCCAGUUACCUCCAUCAGUCCUGGUCCAAUAGGGGUUCUAGGCGUGGAAAUGUCCCGUGGAAGUUUUAUGGUUUCUUUGUCCUUUUCUUUCCUUAGACUAAGUCACCAUUCCUCUCAUUCCUUUUCUAUCAGUUGAGGAGUGGGCUGGAGAGUUGUAUUCCUAUAGUAAACAAGGCCUGUGGGGAAGGCACAUUUCCUAUAAUAAAACAAGGCCAGUGGGGGUGUUACUCCCUGGAGCCCUUGAGCCACAAAAGUUAAUCAAUAUCCAUAUCAAAGAAUGUAUCCAGCCCAGGUUCUUACACUGACUCCCCGAGUUAAUAUCUUGCCUCCGGGGUUGAAAGAACAGACAUUAUUUUUGGCUUCUAGUUUUGGUGACCAGGUCAGCAGUUUAGGCUGGGCUUAGCCCAGGUGCAAGAUGCCCUCCUGUGCUGGGAAGAUGCGGAGUGGAGGUGGAGUGGGGCGGGCAUCACCAUCCUGCUGACCUCAGGCGUGUGGGAUUCCCACACCCCAUGUCUCCUGGCCAUGCUGGCUCCCUUGACCCUCUCCAGGAGCCAGAGAAGCCCUCCCUCAGGCUGCUGGGACAGGUGGGAAGGAAGCGCAUCUCUUUCAUUCCUGGAAAUACCUGCAUCAAAUAUUCAGGGCUGCCAGGAAAUCAUCAAGGGGAGACACUGGAUCAAGUAGAGAGAGGCAGGAGGAAAAGCUUUGCCCACCAGCCUCCAUCCCUCCAGGCUUCUGUCAGUGCCCACCUCCCACCUCUGCUCUCUUGAGCACCUGUCGCGUUGAUAGGGAUUGAAUAGGAUGUUACACAGGUAGUCGCGGAAGCAGGUAGAGAGGGAAACCUAGGGAAUUUGGGGAGACCACUGUAAGUUAAUAAUUGAAUAAUCGCUCAAGAAAGCCAUCAGGAGUUCCCGUCGUGGCGCAGUGGUUAACGAAUCCGACUAGGAACCAUGAGGUUGCGGGUUUGGUCCCUGGCCUUGCUCAGUAGGUUAACGAUCCGGUGUUGCCGUGAGCUGUGGUGUGGGUUGCAGACACGGCUCGGAUCCCGCGUUGUUGUGGCUCUGGCGUAGGCCGGUGGCUACAGCUCCGAUUGGACCCCUAGCCUGGGAACCUCCAUGUGCCGCAGGAGCGGCCCAAGAAAUGGCAAAAAGACAAAAAAAAA
rnacentral:lncRNA from 1 species